rnacentral:rRNA from 1 species
CCUACGGGCGGCAGCAGUCGAGAAUCAUUCACAAUGGGGGAAACCCUGAUGGUGCGACGCCGCGUGGGGGAAUGAAGGUCUUCGGAUUGUAAACCCCUGUCAUGUGGGAGCAAAUUAAAAAGAUAGUACCACAAGAGGAAGAGACGGCUAACUCUGUGCCAGCAGCCGCGGUAAUACAGAGGUCUCAAGCGUUGUUGGGAAUCACUGGGCGUAAAGCGUGCGUAGGCUGUUUCGUAAGUCGUGUGUGAAAGGCGCGGGCUCAACCCGCGGACGGCACAUGAUACUGCGAGACUAGAGUAAUGGAGGGGGAACCGGAAUUCUCGGUGGAGCAGGGAAAUGCGGAGAUAUCGAGAGGAACACUCGUGGCGAAGGCGGGUUCCUGGACAUUAACUGACGCUGAGGCACGAAGGCCAGGGGAGCGAAAGGGAUUAGAUACCCGGGUAGUC